UACAGAGGUCUCAAGCGUUGUUCGGAUUCAUUGGGCGUAAAGGGUGCGUAGGUGGCGCGUUAAGUCAGGUGUGAAAUUUCGGAGCUUAACUCCGAAACUGCAUUUGAUACUGGCGUGCUUGAGGACUGGAGAGGAGACUGGAAUUCACGGUGUAGCAGUGAAAUGCGUAGAUAUCGUGAGGAAUACCAGAGGCGAAGGCGGCUACCUGGACAAUUGCUGACGCUCAGGCACGAAAGCGUGGGGAGCAAAAGGG
rnacentral:rRNA from 1 species